rnacentral:rRNA from 1 species
UAAGGAAUAUUGGUCAAUGGACGCAAGUCUGAACCAGCCAUGCCGCGUGAAGGAUGAAGGUCCUCUGGAUUGUAAACUUCUUUUAUCUGGGACGAAAACGGGAUUUUUAUCUCAAUUGACGGUACCAGAGGAAUAAGCACCGGCUAACUCCGUGCCAGCAGCCGCGGUAAUACGGAGGGUGCGAGCGUUAUCCGGAUUUACUGGGUUUAAAGGGUGAGUAGGUGGGCUUAUAAGUCAGUGGUGAAAUCUCCGAGCUUAACUUAGAAACUGCCGUUUAUACUAUAGGUCUUGAAUUAUCUGGAGGUAAGCGGAAUAUGUCAUGUAGCGGUGAAAUGCUUAGAUAUGACAUAGAACACCAAUUGCGAAGGCAGCUUACUACAUAUAAAUUGACGCUGAGGCACGAAAGCGUGGGGAUCAAACA